UACGUAGGGUGCGAGCGUUAAUCGGAAUUACUGGGCGUAAAGCGUGCGCAGGCGGUUUUGUAAGCCAGAUGUGAAAUCCCCGGGCUUAACCUGGGAAUGGCAUUUGGGACUGCAAGGCUGGAGUGUGGCAGAGGAGACUGGAAUUCCUGGUGUAGCAGUGAAAUGCGUAGAUAUCAGGAGGAACACCAGAGGCGAAGGCGGCCUACUGGGCUGCACCUGACGCUGAACCGCGAAAGCUAGGGGAGCGAACGGG
rnacentral:rRNA from 1 species